UUGUCAGCUUACAUAAUCCUUACCUGUGUUUACUUUUGGAAGGCAGAAUAGAAAAUGAUGAUUGGAGUUUGUAUGGUAUGUGAUCAAUGAGUUUG